ACUCCUACGGGAGGCAGCAGUGGGGAAUAUUGCACAAUGGGCGCAAGCCUGAUGCAGCCAUGCCGCGUGUAUGAAGAAGGCCUUCGGGUUGUAAAGUACUUUCAGCGGGGAGGAAGGCAAUACGGUUAAUAACCGUGUUGAUUGACGUUACCCGCAGAAGAAGCACCGGCUAACUCCGUGCCAGCAGCCGCGGUAAUACGGAGGGUGCAAGCGUUAAUCGGAAUUACUGGGCGUAAAGCGCACGCAGGCGGUCUGUCAAGUCGGAUGUGAAAUCCCCGGGCUCAACCUGGGAACUGCAUUCGAAACUGGCAGGCUUGAGUCUUGUAGAGGGGGGUAGAAUUCCAGGUGUAGCGGUGAAAUGCGUAGAGAUCUGGAGGAAUACCGGUGGCGAAGGCGGCCCCCUGGACAAAGACUGACGCUCAGGUGCGAAAGCGUGGGGAGCAAACAGGAUUAGAAACCCGAGUAGUCCCAU
rnacentral:rRNA from 1 species